rnacentral:rRNA from 1 species
GAUGAACGCUGGCGGCGUGCCUAAUACAUGCAAGUCGAGCGAACAGAUAAGGAGCUUGCUCCUUUGACGUUAGCGGCGGACGGGUGAGUAACACGUGGGUAACCUACCUAUAAGACUGGAAUAACUCCGGGAAACCGGGGCUAAUGCCGGAUAACAUGUUGAACCGCAUGGUACUACAGUGAAAGGCGGCUUUGCUGUCACUUAUAGAUGGACCCGCGCCGUAUUAGCUAGUUGGUGAGGUAACGGCUCACCAAGGCAACGAUCCGUAGCCGAGCUGAGAGGGUGAUCGGCCACACUGGAACUGAGACACGGUCCAGACUCCUACGGGAGGCAGCAGUAGGGAAUCUUCCGGAAUGGGCGAAAGCCUGACGGAGCAACGCCGCGUGAGUGAUGAAGGUCUUCGGAUCGUAAAACUCUGUUAUUAGGGAAGAACAAAUGCGUAAGUAACUGUGCGCGUCUUGACGGUACCUAAUCAGAAAGCCACGGCUAACUACGUG